AGCAGUCAGCCGGAGACUUGCGUUAGGCUCACAAGCAUCCCCACGCCCUCCCUCGCCUCGGCCGCAGCCCCGGUAGACACACACCCCCCCAGGGAAACCUUUAGUACCCUGGACACGCACCCUCAAGGACACUUCUCCCUUAGUUAACUUAGAAACGUGAGAAACAUAAGAGGCAGUGAAGAGAAUCAGUGUGAUUUAAUUCGGCUCGCCAUGUGAUGCUGAAUUCGCGUGCAUGUUCCGUGGGAGUCAGCGCGUGUGCGUGUGUGUGCGUGCGUGAGUGACAGUGCGUCCGUGAGUGAGCGUGUGCAGACGCGUGAGUGUAUGUAAGUGCGUGUACGUUUGUGUGUGUGCGUGCGUGUGUGUGUGUGUGGUCUCCCGGCGGCGUCACUUCGUCAGUUUGCGUCGGGUGGCCGGAGUCGCGGGAGGCAUAGGCAGUGUUCCCUUCAUCCCUCCCUACCUCCCUUCCUCCCUCCCCUUCAAUCUCGCCAUCUUGAAGGGAAGAAGCCUAGCCAAUCACCUUCCCUCCAACCCGCAAGAGGACGAAGAGAGGAGAGAAGAAAGAAGAGGAAGAAGAAGAGGAGGAGGAAGAGGAAAUCAACCAGCCUUAGUCCCGCAGGAAAAAAAAAUAAUAAUAACAUCAUAUAGGGAGUUUUUUGGCCCCUCUCUUUCCUCCUGCUGACGGCCCCCCUCCUCCGCCCCCCGCCUGAUCCGCCCCCCAUCACUAGGACCUGAUUUUCGAAGAAGGAUGAAGGGCGCAACAGCCUCUCCCGUCUUCACGAUGAGUUCCACCCUUGUGCUGUGUUGCAUAGCGGCGUGUUUGGCGCUGACAGAGGGCGUCCACAACGACCUGUCUUGCUACCAGUGCAAUGUGGACACACUCGGAUGAAUGCACAGAUGACUACCUCGCCCCGUGCCCCGACACCCAGCUCUUCGACAGGUGUCAAACCCGCGACAGGAGGACAGCUGACGGCAGACACUGGGGUUGAGAAAGGGUGUGCGCUGGCCCCCUGUCAGCUCCCUAGGAUGGUUGGGGACGCCCCUGGGCACCACCUGCGACUACUCUGCCCCCGCCUACGACUGUGUCUUCUGCUGCCGGGGUAGUGGGUGCAACGGCAGGGCAGUUUCCACGGUUUCUUCUCUGCCCCCCUUUGCUACUUCGUCUCCUCCUCCCUCUCUUGGGUUUGUUAACUCCUGUUUUCGUUCUGUAAAACUUAUUUUCGUCUCCCAUUCUUCCUUCUCCUCUUCCCAUUCUCUUCUGUCCGUUCUUUUCCUCUUUUUCUCUUGUUUUUUUUUUUUUAUCCCAUGGUGUCUAUCUAGUGUUUUUUCUCUUCCUCUCCUCUUCUUUCUGUCUUUCCUUUUCUCCCCCCCUCCGUUUCUGUGUCCAUCUUAAACAGUAAGUUCUCGGCGCUCUCUCUCUCUCUCUCUCUCUCCCUCUCUCUCUCCUCCUCUCUCUCUCUCUCUCUCUCUCUCUCUCUCUCUCUGCUGUUUACCUUUCUAUCCGCGCCAUCUGCUCCCAAAUGCACUUUUUAGAGAAUCUGAACCGAAGGUUGAGAGCAAACAGUGAAGAAGAAGAAGAAGAAGAAGAAGAAGAAGAAGAAGAAGAAGAAGAAGAAGAAGAAGAAGAAGAAGAAGAAGAAGAAGAAGAAGAAGAAGAAGAAGAUGAUGAUGAUGAUGAUGAUGAUGAUGAUGAUGAUGAUGAUGAAGAAGAAAAGGAGGAGGAGGAGGAGGAGGAGGGUAAGAAGUAGGAAGAAACAUGGAGGUGAUGCAGAGAGAAAGUAGAAGUAAAACAAAGCAGAAAAAAAGAAAAAAGAAUAAACACGAAAUCGAGAGAUAAAUGUGGGAAAAAUUAAGAAAGAGAGAGAGAAAAAAAAAGAAUGGCAACAAACAAGAAACAAACUCCACCGGAAGGAAACCAAAGAGAAGAAAUGGAGAAAGAGGAAAGAAAAAAAAAAGAAGAGGAAAGAAAGAUGAUGUAUAAUAAAAACAAACAAACAAACAAAAAAAACAUAGAGAAUAAAUAGAUAGAUGAAAACAAAGCAGAGAUAAGGAUACUGUGUCAUUCCCUUGACUUUCCUUCCCCUUUUCUCUCUUUCCCUCUCUCCCUCUCUCCCUUUUUCUAUCCUUCCUUUUCAUACCCAGCCAACCAUGUCCCCAAUUAGAAUACGUAUGUACGAGUUUGUGUCAGUUCCCAUGUACGUGAUGAAGGGAGCAGCAACGUACAUGUUUGUGGAGGUAUUACAGGUAACACACGAGUAAUACAAGUACAGGUUGUGUUGUAUACAUGUAAAAAAAAAAAAAAUCAGCAGCAACGUUAGCUAGAAGAGAGAGGUAAUACACGUACAUGUCCAUUAUUUAAGAGAGAGUUGCGUACGUCUACAAGUUGUUGCGUCAUCUGUAUCAACACGUGACAUAGAGCAUAUCAAAAUAACUGUAACCUGUAGAACAUAUCACAGAGUUAUGGCAGGUUGUAGUGAGUCUUAGUGUUCUGCUGCUGUGCUAACUGCUGCUACUGUUACUACUACUGAUACUACUACUACUACUACUACUACUACUACUACUACUAUUACUACUACUACUACAACUACUACUACUACUACUACUCUACCGUUUCAGCUUCUCUUAUUUGAUGUUACUACUACUACUACUACUACUACUACUACUACUACUACUACUACUACUACUACUACUACUACUACUACUACUACUGCUAUUACUACUACUAUAACUACUGCAAUAUUUCUCCUGUUACUACUACAUAAUUUUACUACUACUUCCGCUGCUGUCACUAUAACUACUACUACUACUACUACUACUACUACUACUACUACUAUUUGGAGGAGCCUUUCGCCUCCUAUGUCUUCCAGAUGUGUGUGUGUGUGUGUGUGUGUGUGUGUGUGUGUGUGUGUGUGAGUGUGUGUGUGUGUGUGUGUGUGUGUGUGUGUGUGUGUGUGUGUGUUUGUAUGUGUGUGUGUAUGUGUGUGUGUGUGUGUGU